rnacentral:rRNA from 1 species
AUCUGGUUCAGGAUGAACGCUAGCUACAGGCUUAACACAUGCAAGUCGAGGGGCAUCAGGAAUCUAGCUUGCUAGAUUGCUGGCGACCGGCGCACGGGUGAGUAACACGUAUCCAACCUGCCCCCAGCUUGGGGAUAGCCCUCUGAAAGGAGGAUUAAUACCCGAUAUGCUUGUUCUCCGGCAUCGGAGGACAAUCAAAGAUUCAUCGGCUGUGGAUGGGGAUGCGUCUGAUUAGCUUGUUGGCGGGUAACGGCCACCAAGGCGACGAUCAGUAGGGGUUCUGAGAGGAAGGUCCCCCACAUAGGAACUGAGACACGGUCCUAACUCCUACGGGAGGCAGCAGUGAGGAAUAUUGGUCAAUGGGCGAGAGCCUGAACCAGCCAAGUAGCGUGAAAAGGAUGACUGCCCUACGGGUUGUAAACUUCUUUUAUGGGAGGAUAAAGUGGGUCACGUGUGGCCCUUUGCAGGUAUCCCAUGAAUAAGCAUCGGCUAAUUCCGUGCCAGCCGCCGC